UACAGAGGGGGCAAGCGUUGUUCGGAAUUACUGGGCGUAAAGGGCGCGUAGGCGGCCUGCUAAGUCGAACGUGAAAUCCCCGGGCUCAACCCGGGAACUGCGUCCGAUACUGGCAGGCUUGAAUCCGGGAGAGGGAUGUGGAAUUCCAGGUGUAGCGGUGAAAUGCGUAGAUAUCUGGAGGAACACCGGUGGCGAAGGCAGCCCCCUGGGCCGACAUUGACGCUCAGGCACGAAAGCGUGGGGAGCAAACAGG
rnacentral:rRNA from 1 species